AGUGAACGCUGGCGGCAGGCCUAACACAUGCAAGUCGAGCGGCAGCGGGUCCUUCGGGAUGCCGGCGAGCGGCGGACGGGUGAGGAAUGCGUCGGAAUCUGCCUUUUUGUGGGGGAUAACGUAGGGAAACUUACGCUAAUACCGCAUACGACCUACAGGUGAAAGUGGGGGACCGCAAGGCCUCACGCAGAAAGAUGAGCCGACGCCGGAUUAGCUAGUUGGCGGGGUAAAGGCCCACCAAGGCGACGAUCCGUAGCUGGUCUGAGAGGAGGAUCAGACACACUGGAACUGAGACACGGUCCAGACUCCUACGGGAGGCAGCAGUGGGGAAUAUUGGACAAUGGGCGCAAGCCUGAUCCAGCCAUGCCGCGUGUGUGAAGAAGGCCUUCGGGUUGUAAAGCACUUUUGUCCGGAAAGAAAUCCAAUCGAUUAAUACUCGGUUGGGAUGACGGUACCGGAAGAAUAAGCACCGGCUAACUUCGUGCCAGCAGCCGCGGUAAUAC
rnacentral:rRNA from 1 species